GAUGCACAUUCACAAACAGUUCAUUUACAUAGAGCACAAGGAAAACAGCUCUGUCUUCAGAAAAAGAGGAGACUCCACUGCAGAAGACCCUGAGAAACAUGAACCAUCAAUCCAUUGCUUGCAGUCAGGAUAAUUCCUGGAGUACACUUCAGUGUGUCAUGUCUUUGGGAACAAGAGUUCAAGAUCCUUCAGUCUUUAUCCCCUUCAGAAGAUGCAGGGUCAGAGAGCAGGCCAAUCCCCUCCGAAGAGCCCAAGAUUCUUUGACCCCAGGGAUCCAUGCCCUGGCCUUCUUGCCCUUUGAAUAGAGAAGCAAAUAGACUUUGACUAUUGGGGUCUCCCACUGGAGGUGAGCGUAGAAGCUGAGGAUUAUGGAAACAGGUGUCUGAUGAUGUCCACCAUACCACACCAUCCAGCAUGUUUUCUGGACUUUCUGUGGAAGCAUCCGGUUCCUUUCUGUUGCUCUCCCCUCCUGUGUCUACUCCUCACUCAGACUUACAGGCACUUGUUUUAUUUACUCCACACACCCAUGUGAGGGAUAUUUGCCACUGUGGAAAACUGAGGCUUUUGGAGGGAUGUAGGCUUUCCCAUGGUUACACAAUCUUCAGGAAAGAGCUGGUCUGGGGCCCUGUGUUAUGCACAAGGGGACAGAGGACUCCUGUCUUACAUCCCGUAUGAGCUGUGCUUGGAUAUUGGCUUGGCUGUGUAGUGGUUAUAGACACCUGCCAUAAGGGUAAGGAGCCUUCACACCUCUGUUUUACAAGUGAGGAGUCAGAGCUUCUAAGACACACAGCAUCUUCCUAGUAGAUCCCUCUGGGGCCAGCUGGCUGCUUUGGGAAAAUGGGAUCAGGUAGCAGACAUCUUCUGGCCCCUUCUUCACCUCCUCUGCAAGGAUGGGGCGGAGGACAGCAAGAUGUGUGGUACCUCCCCCCCCUCAAUUGGACACCGGUUUCAAGAAUUCCCUGAGGGGCUAACCUCUCAUUUCAAUAUGUUAAUGUGUGGAAACUAAUGACAUAUUUAUUGCUUAUGUAGAUGCUAGUUAUUUACAUGGGAAACUGAUUUAUCUAUUAGAUAAUUAGUAAACUUCAAUAAUUGCAAAAACCUUUUAGCAAUCAGUUGACAUUUAAUUAACAUACAAUAACUGUCUUAUUAAAUCUACAUUAAAUGCCUAUUGGAGUUAAUUAAACUCAUACCUAUGACUCCACGUGCUUUGGGAAUCCUCAUUAAAGCCCACCAGUAAAAAUGCAGACAGGGAAGUCCCCGGAAGGCAGUCUGUGGUGGAGUGGCCUGGAUGGCACUCACACAUUUAAUCGGUGCCUACUGUGUUCUUAAACAACAGCAAACCAAGCAGAACUAGGCCUUGCCUUCAGGGAACUUGGAGUCUGGUGCUGCCGCUGUGGAGAUUAAUCAAAUAGUCCUGCAGAUGAAUGUUGCCUGGGACUCUGAUGGGUGCGGAGACCAGGGAAGUGCUGGCAGAGCAUGGAGGUCUGGCCUGGUCUAAGGGUUAGUUAGAGUUAGGCUGCUUGGACUGUAUUCUGAAGGUUCAACAGGAGCUUUGUAGGGAAGGGGGGAGGUGAGGACAAGGUGCUCCAAGCGUAGGAAAUAGCAUCUGCAAAGCUAUGGAGAGGUGGGAGGUGUGUGGCCAGCAAUAUAAUAGGGGAGCAAAGUACAGUGUGGUGUGAGGAGCCCCUUCCCUAUAAGAACAGGAAGUGGGGACUGGAGAGAAGGUUGCUCUUGCAGAGGACCUA